AGACAAUAGAUACCCUGGUAGUCCUGGCCCUCAACGUUGCUCGCUCGUUUUACGGAGUAUCGACCCUCUGUGAGACUAAAGCUAACGCGGUAAGCGAGCCGCCUGGGUAGUACGAUCGCAAGAUUAAAACUCAAAGGAAUAGACGGGGACUCGCACAAGCAGUGGAUUAUGCGGCUUAAUUCGUCGGUAAACGAAGAACCUUACCAAGGUUAGAAACCCAACUGCAUCCGACCUGAAAGGGACGGAGCCUUCGAGGGUGUUGGGCAGGUGAUGCAUGGUCGUCGUCAGUUCGUGGUUUGAACUGUUCCCUUCAGUGGGGUAACGAACGCAA
rnacentral:rRNA from 1 species